rnacentral:lncRNA from 1 species
CAUUCUGCAGCUUAGUAAUGUCCGUUCUUUCCGAGGCAGAUAAUAUAUUUCGAGGGCUUCUGGGACUAUCAUCCUCCAGUUACAAGAAAGAAGCAAUAUUGAAACUGAAGGAUACCCCACAAUGGGUUAAUGUGAAACCUCUCAUGAAAUCUUAUAUAAGGAGUACAUUAUCUCUACUGGAUCAGGUUACUGAUUCAGACAUUCUGGCUUUCGCUUUGACUCGAUUGUGAAACUUCUCAUGAAAUCUUAUUUAAGGAGUACAUUAUGUCUACUGGAUCAGGUUACUGAUUCAGACAUUCUGGCUUUCGCUUUGACUCGAUUCAGGGCUUCUUUACCAUUCUUUGCUGCUUUCCCCUAUCUUUUGCAGAGGCUC